rnacentral:rRNA from 1 species
GCAAGUCGAGCGGAAACGACACUAACAAUCCUUCGGGUGCGUUAAUGGGCGUCGAGCGGCGGACGGGUGAGUAAUGCCUAGGAAAUUGCCUUGAUGUGGGGGAUAACCAUUGGAAACGAUGGCUAAUACCGCAUAAUGCCUACGGGCCAAAGAGGGGGAUCUUCAGACCUCUCGGGUCAAGAUAUGCAUAGGUGGGAUUAGCUAGUUGGUGAGGUAAUGGCUCACCAAGGCGACGAUCCCUAGCGGGUCUGAGAGGAUGAUC